rnacentral:sRNA from 1 species
GCUGGGCAUGGUGGCACAUGCUUGUAAUCCCAGAUGCUCAGAGGCUAAGGCAGGAGGAUUGCAAGUUCAAAGCCAGCCUCAGCAAAAGCAAAGCACUAAGAAAUUCAGCGAGACCCUGUCUCUA